UUAUGUCCUAAUCCUAAGGGUUUUGAAAACUUAUGUUAUCAUCCUGAAAUGUAAAUAAUACCCAUCUUACCCUUAAGAUUUGGUUUACUGCAUUUUUCCUUUAAACAAAUUUGAAUGGAUAAUAUCCCAUAACUACCUGAAAAACUGUUUGGUGGAGGUCCUGUAUUCAUUAGAAUUGGAUGUAGAUAAUUAUUAGGGAUUAUAUCCCAUAACUAUUGGACAAAAACGUUUGGAGAAGGUCCUAUUUUACCUAAAAAUGAGAAUUAGCCGAUAUAUCGGGAAAAAAUAUCCCAUUAUUAUACAUGGAAGGUCCCACCAUCCCAAAAAUUAUUUGCCUCAGCUUUUUCCAUUCCGUAUCGUUCAAACAGAAAGAAGAAGAAAGGGGGAACUGAAAUGGCAGGUCGUGUUUCUCCUCCCAUCGGCGAUCUAUAUUUUGUUCCGGCAUAUGCGAACCCCCUUUGGUGAGUUGGUCGGCCUGUGAAUCCCAAAACUACCUAGACCCAACCAAUUGGAACUCAUUUAUUUCAUCGAACUCAAUUGGAAAACCCUAGGAGGUGACAUAUAUAAGCGAUUUGGAAUGGCUAGACUUCUCCUCGUCUUUGUGAAGAAGCAUGUUGGGUACUCCUUUACUGACGACGGCUGCCCCCGCGUCCGACGAGGGCGCCCUCCUAGAGGUGGAGCUGGAGGAGAGCAUGGUGGAAGCAGUAGAGGAAGUUAGUUGAGAAGUGAUAGUUCAUGUUGCGCCCCGAUUUGUUG